UCUUACAAUUUAUCGAAUAAGUUGUUGUAGUAAAUUUUCAAUAAAUUUUGACUUAAAAUUACGUUGACAAUCCCUUUAAGAACCCUAAAAUGUGAAGAAUGUUGAAUUCUUUUCCAUCUUUAAAAUCAUCCUCAGAAUAUCCGGUCACCAAUACUACUCAAGUUCCGUGCCUGGGGGUAACUUGUCAACAGCUAGAACCAGUUUUUUGGCUUUUCCCUAUCAUAUCAGAGG